rnacentral:rRNA from 1 species
GCUAAUACCGCAUACGUCCUACGGGAGAAAGUGGGGGAUCUUCGGACCUCACGCUAUCAGAUGAGCCUAGGUCGGAUUAGCUUGUAGGUGAGGUAAUGGCUCACCUAGGCAACGAUCCGUAACUGGUCUGAGAGGAUGAUCAGUCACACUGGAACUGAGACACGGUCCAGACUCCUACGGGAGGCAGCAGUGGGGAAUAUUGGACAAUGGGCGAAAGCCUGAUCCAGCCAUGCCGCGUGUGUGAAGAAGGUCUUCGGAUUGUAAACCACUUUAAGUUG